GUUUCCUAUGUGGAAAAGAUGAUACAAGAUUCUGGAAUAACUGAUCAAUGACAUCAGUGUAUGAUGCCUCAUAUUGUGUCUUCUAAGUGCUCCAGCCUUGACACAUGCAAUUACAGAAAGAUAAUGAAACAAUUUUGGAUAACAAUCUACAAAAGGACCAUACCCUGGCAGCCUUCUGCUUUACCAGCUUGUUGAAAUUAAUCACCUUUCUCCUAAUGCACUGUGAAACAAUUUCCACCAGGAAAUGAGAGUUGACCAGUUCUUAGCUACUAGUAAAUUUGAAUUAACGUGGAACAAUUUAUGCUAUGUGAAACACAUGCUUUAUACUUGUGGCAAAUUCAUUACUUACCUUCAAAAUCUUGAAAAAUCACCUCUGUACUGGGAUAAACUGAUUGUUAAUACUGCUCCAGUUUGCUACAGUUAGAUCAUCUUUGAAAUGAAGGUGCUUUUCCCCAAAGGAGGCAGAAAUUAAAUUUCACUUCUUUUCUGGAUGUCCAGCAUAUGAAGUUUGGUUCAUAAAAAAACCUUUCUCAAGCAUCUCUUAAAUUACUAAUUAAAUUGCCUCUCUUCUGAGUAAAUGAUUUCUGAGAUCUUUAAAAUGUCUCCGUUAAAGCUUAGUGUUAGGGUAGUCUUGAUCCACUGAGUUACAUGCUAGCACACUUUUAUUAGAAUAGAUGCUCACAGCUAAUGACCCAGUCCAAGAAGGAGUUGGUGUGGGAGCUGGAUACUCCACUACCAUGACCAGUCUGCUUCAUGCAGUAUAGUCUUUCCCAGCCAGACAAAAAUA